CGUAAAUCUCGGCUAAGAAAGGACAAGACAAAGUCAACGGGAGUUAGCUCGAAAAUUACGGUUUAGUAAAGAUAAAACGUUGAAUCAGCAUCCCAGUUCGAUCCCGAAUUCAUUAAGGUAAAGUGUGUUAAUUAUUGGUAAUGGCAUGUACCUAGGAUGUUUUAUGAGAGUCAUUUAGGUUGUAGAUGUACUCAUGAAAUGAGUAAAUUAUGGUUGGCAACGGUAUGUAGUAUGAAUUUUGAAAUUUACUAAAAA